rnacentral:rRNA from 1 species
CCUACGGGAGGCAGCAGUGAGGAAUAUUGGUCAAUGGCCGGGAGGCUGAACCAGCCAAGUCGCGUGAGGGAAGACGGCCCUACGGGUUGUAAACUUCUUUUGUCAGGGAGCAAGGUGCAGGUCGGGACCUGCUGUGCGAGUACCUGAAGAAAAAGCAUCGGCUAACUCCGUGCCAGCAGCAGCGGUAAUACGGAGGAUGCGAGCGUUAUCCGGAUUUAUUGGGGUUAAAGGGUGGGCAGGCGGAGGCACAGGUCAGCGGUAAAGUCGCGGGGCUCAACCCCGCUCCGCCGUUGAAACUGUGUCCCUUGAGUGCGCGAAGGGUAGGCGGAAUGCGUGGUGUAGCGGUGAAAUGCAUAGAUA